UUACUAUGUUACGACUUAUUCCUUUGGGGGGAAGUGACGGGCGGUAUGUACACUCCUUUUUACAAUAUUCAAGCUAUUUUAAUAAAAUAACCUUACUUUUAAAUUCAUUUAUUUUGUAUAUCAACAAAUUGAUUCAUCAAGAUUUUUGAUCCACAAACUUUCAAUACCAUAAUCUUCAUCUUUACCUGACUUAACAGCUUAAAACUGACAAAAUAAAAAUUUAUGCUUUUCUUUUCAGUCGGCGAUAUGGAGGAUGAGAGAACUAAGUGUAGUAAGAUUGGGGUGGAUUAUCCAUCAGGUCCAUGGAUCUCUAAUUUGAAAAGGGGCCGCCACAAACCAUAGUUAAUCUUUAGAAAAAAGUUAUAAGAAUAAUAGGGUAUCUAAUCCUAGUUUA
rnacentral:rRNA from 1 species